AUUGAACGCUGGCGGCAGGCCUAACACAUGCAAGUCGAGCGCGCGGCGGACGGGUGAGUAAUGUAUGGGGAUCUGCCCGAUAGAGGGGGCUAACUACUGGAAACGGUGGCUAAUACCGCAUACUAUAGGAUGAACCCAUAUGGGAUUAGCUAGUAGGUGGGGUAACGGCUCACCUAGGCGACGAUCUCUAGCUGGUCUGAGAGGAUGAGCAACCACACUGGGACUGAGACACGGACCAGACUCCUACGGGAGGCAGCAGUGGGAAAUAGUGCACAAGGGGCGCCAGCCUGAUGCAGCCAUGCCGCGUGUAUGAAGAAGGCCUUAGGGUUGGUAAGUCCUUUCAGCGGGGAGGCGUUACCCGCAGAAGAAGCACCGACUAACUCAGUGCCAGCAGCCGCGGUGAUAC
rnacentral:rRNA from 1 species